rnacentral:rRNA from 1 species
GACGAACGCUGGCGGCGUGCUUAACACAUGCAAGUCGAACGGAAAGGCCCUGCUUUUGUGGGGUGCUCGAGUGGCGAACGGGUGAGUAACACGUGAGUAACUUGCCCUUGACUUUGGGAUAACUUCAGGAAACUGGGGCUAAUAUCGGAUAGGAGCUCCUGCUGCAUGGUGGGCGUUGGAAAGUUUCGGCGGUAGGGGAUGGACUCGCGGCUUAUCAGCUUGUUGGUGGGGUAGUGGUUUACCAAGUGUUUGACGGGUAGGCGGCCUGGGAGGGUAACCGGGCACAUUAGGACUGAGAUAGGCACCAGACGCCUACGUUGGGCAGCGGGCGGAAGUAUGGCACAAUGGGCCGGAGCCUGAGACAACAGCCCCGCGUUCGUGAUGACCGCCUUUGGGUUAUAAACCGCUGUCGCCUGUGACGAAGCGUGAGUGACGGUAAUGGAUAAAGAAGCACCGGCUAACUACGUG